rnacentral:rRNA from 1 species
UCAAGUUGAACGGAUGACUUAGUGGCGGACGGGUGAGUAACGCGUGAGGAACCUGCCUUUCAGUGGGGGACAACAGUUGGAAACGACUGCUAAUACCGCAUGACACAUCGAAGCGGCAUCGCUUUGAUGUCAAAGAUUUAUCGCUGAAAGAUGGCCUCGCGUCUGAUUAGAUAGUUGGCGGGGUAACGGCCCACCAAGUCGACGAUCAGUAGCCGGACUGAGAGGUUGAACGGCCACAUUGGGACUGAGACACGGCCCAGACUCC